rnacentral:rRNA from 1 species
UAGUAACGGCGAGUGAAGCGGCAGCAGCUCAAAUUUGAAAUCUGGCCCUCUGGGCCCGAGUUGUAAUUUGUAGAGGAUGCUUUUGGCGCGGCGCCUUCCGAGUUCCCUGGAACGGGACGCCAUAGAGGGUGAGAGCCCCGUACGGUUGGAUGCCAAACCUCUGUAAAGCUCCUUCGACGAGUCGAGUAGUUUGGGAAUGCUGCUCAAAAUGGGAGGUAAAUUCCUUCUAAAGCUAAAUACCGGCCAGAGACCGAUAGCGCACAAGUAGAGUGAUCGAAAGAUGAAAAGCACUUUGAAAAGAGGGUUAAACAGUACGUGAAAUUGUUGAAAGGGAAGCGCCUGUGACCAGACUUGGUCCCAGCGGAUCAUCCGGCGUUCUGCGCCGGUGCACUCCGCUGGGCUCCAGGCCAGCAUCGGUUCUCCCAGGGGGAUAAAAACCGCGGGAACGUAGCUCCUUAGGGAGUGUUAUAGCCCGUGGCAUAAUGCCCUUGGGGGGACCGAGGACCGCGCUUCGGCAUGGAUGCUGGCGUAAUGGUCACUAGCGACCCGUCUUGAAACACGGACCAAGGAGUGAAGCAUUAGGGCGAGUGUCUGGGUGUUAAACCCGCACGCGUAAUGAAAGUGAACGCAGGUGAGAGCUUCGGCGCAUCAUCGACCGAUCCUGAAGUAUUCGGAUGGAUUUGAGUAAGAGCCUUACCGCUUCGACCCGAAAGUUGGUGAACUAUGCCUGUAUAGGGUGAAGCCAGAGGAAACUCUGGUGGAGGCUCGCAGCGGUUCUGACGUGCAAAUCGAUCGUCAAAUAUGGGCAUGGGGGCGAAAGACUAAUCGAACCAACUAGUAGCU